AAACAUCCUGCUCUCACACUCCACAACAAAAUGGUGUUGUUGAGAGGAAACAUAGAUAUCUUUUAGAAACAGCCAGGGCCUUGCUUUUUCAGUCCAAGCUCCCUCUCAGAUUCUGGGGGGAUUGUAUUCUUACUGCCACAUACCUUAUAAAUAGAUUUCCUUCUAAACUUCUUAACAAUGUUUCUCCUUAUGAACUACUAUUUGGAAGGAGUCCCUCUUUACUACAUCUCAAAACCUUUGGCUGUCUAUGUUUUGCUACUGUCCCUAAGCAACAUAGAGAUAAGUUUCAACCAAGGGCUGAUUCUUGUGUAUUCAUAGGGUACCCACUGGGUAAAAAGGGCUACAAAUUAUAUAACUUGAAAACUAAACUUACUCUCAUUUCCAGGGAUGUUGUUUUCCAUGAAGAUGUUUUUCCUUUUGCUUUUCCUUGGAGUACUUCCUCUGUCCCAUCUUCUAUUCCUUCUUCUUGCCAUGACUAUCCACCUCCUACUGAUGUAUCUGCUCCAUCUUCUCUUCCUCCUCCCUGCCCUGACUAUCCUGCUUCUCCUAAUCUUCCAUCAAUCAGUCCUUCCCAUUCCCCUGCUUCUUCUCCUUCAUUCCCUACUUCUACUUCCAAUUCACCUUCCCAUUCCCUGCUUCUUCUCCUUCAUUCCCUACUUCUACUUCCAAUUCACCACCCUCUAAUAAUAUACCUUUGUCUGACCCUAUUCCUAAUCCUCCUCUGCCUCCUCCUAGGAGAUGUGGCAGGCACCACACCACUCCUGCUCAUCUUAAUCAAUACAUCUGUGACCUCCCUCCUUCCAUUUCUGGCACCAGUUCUUUUUCCACUUGCUGCAAUAGCACUGUUAGCAAUGCACUGGUUGAGCUUACCUCUUACAAGCAGGCAGCCUCUGAUCCUGCUUGGCAGGAUGCCAUGGC
rnacentral:lncRNA from 1 species